AUUGAACGCUGGCGGCAUGCUUUACACAUGCAAGUCGAACGGCAGCGCGGGCUUCGGCCUGGCGGCGAGUGGCGAACGGGUGAGUAAUACAUCGGAACGUGCCCAGUAGUGGGGGAUAGCUCGGCGACAGCCGGAUUAAUACCGCAUACGACCUGAGGGUGAAAGCGGGGGAUCUUCGGACCUCGCGCUAUUGGAGCGGCCGAUGGCAGAUUAGCUAGUUGGUGGGGUAAAGGCCUACCAAGGCGACGAUCUGUAGCUGAUCUGAGAGGACGACCAGCCACACUGGGACUGAGACACGGCCCAGACUCCUACGGGAGGCAGCAGUGGGGAAUUUUGGACAAUGGGCGAAAGCCUGAUCCAGCAAUGCCGCGUGUGUGAUGAAGGCCUUCGGGUUGUAAAGCACUUUUGGCGGGAACGAAAAGGACUGUGCCAAUACCACGGUUCGAUGACGGUACCCGCAGAAUAAGCACCGGCUAACUACGUG
rnacentral:rRNA from 1 species